rnacentral:tRNA from 1 species
GGAACCUCCUUUCUAGGAUGUUCCUAGUCACUUGAGCUUGCUCAAGUCAUGGAACACUUAGCAGCUGCAAUCAAAGCAGCAUAUAUAGAGCCGAGCCGUCCUCAUAUCUCUUCAGACAUUGGUAGUCGCCGACGAGCGACAGGCCAACGGGGCCUUAGCUCAGCUGGGAGAGCAUCUGCUUUGCAAGCAGAGGGUCAUCGGUUCGAUCCCGAUAGGCUCCACCAGUUAGGGUCGGUAGCUCAGUUGGUUAGAGCGCACGCCUGAUAAGCGUGAGGUCGGAGGUUCAAAUCCUCCUCGACCCACCAGCAUCCCGAUUUGACCGUAAAGCACUUGUUCAGUGUUUUGCCGUCCAAUCGGACGCAUGAUUUUGACAUCGUUUAGAGAGAAUAUAUCAGAACCAUCGGUUCGGCCGCGUCAGGCCGCACCCCGGGCACCGCCCGGAGCAGAUGGUUUUGUUCCAAGUCAAGUACACUAACCUAUGUCUUCCCCGUGCCUCGCAUGGGCUGGGGAAGGCGGGAAACGUAUGACUUUCGGUUCGGAAAGAACUCGGUUCUUGGUUCUGCGGCACGCGGCGUUGCCGGGACAGCAAUGUCCUCAAGUAGCGCUCCGCGCGGUAGGACACUCAAGAGCCUUGCUUUUUCUGGAUCGGAUCAAGCGCGAAAAGGGCGUUUGGUAGGCCCCUGGGAAAACCUUGGC